GCAGUGGUGAUUCAGUGGUAGAAUUCUUGACUUCCACGCGGGAGACCUGGGUUUGAUUCCUGGCCAAUGUA
rnacentral:tRNA from 1 species